AAUAUUGCGCAAUGGGGGGAACCCUGACGCAGCAACGCCGCGUGAGUGAAGAAGGCCUUCGGGUCGUAAAACUCUGUCAUUAGGGAAGAAUAAAGUGACGGUACCUAAUGAGGAAGCCCCGGCUAACUACGUGCCAGCAGCCGCGGUAAUACGUAGGGGGCGAGCGUUGUCCGGAAUUAUUGGGCGUAAAGGGUGCGUAGGCGGCCUUUUAAGUCAGAUGUGAAGGCCCACGGCUUAACCGUGGGACUGCAUUUGAAACUGGAGGGCUUGAGUAUCGGAGAGGGUAGUGGAAUUCCCAGUGUAGCGGUGGAAUGCGUAGAUAUUGGGAGGAACGCCAGUGGCGAAGGCGACUACCUGGACGAAAACUGACGCUGAGGCACGAAAGCUAGGGGAGCAAAC
rnacentral:rRNA from 1 species